UACGAACUGCGCAAACGUUAUUCGGAAUCACUGGGCUUACAGGGUGCGUAGGCGGCGGGGAAAGUAGGGUGUGAAAUGCCUUGGCUCAACCAAGGCACUGCGCUCUAAACUCCCUCGCUCGAGUGAGUCAGGGGUACGCGGAACUUCCGGUGGGGCGGUGAAAUGUGUUGAUAUCGGAAGGAACACCGGUGGCGAAAGCGGCGUACUGGGGCUUAACUGACGCUGAGGCACGAAAGCGUGGGGAGCGAACAGG
rnacentral:rRNA from 1 species